rnacentral:rRNA from 1 species
GAAGGGUGCAAGCGUUACUCGGAAUUACUGGGCGUAAAGCGUGCGUAGGUGGUUCGUUAAGUCCGAUGUGAAAGCCCUGGGCUCAACCUGGGAAUGGCAUUGGAUACUGGCGAGCUAGAGUGCGGUAGAGGGGUGCGGAAUUCCCGGUGUAGCAGUGAAAUGCGUAGAUAUCGGGAGGAACAUCCGUGGCGAAGGCGGCACCCUGGACCAGCACUGACACUGAGGCACGAAAGCGUGGGGAGCAAACAGGAUUAGAUACCCUGGUAGUCCACGCCCUAAACGAUGCGAACUGGAUGUUGGGUGCAACUAGGCACUCAGUAUCGAAGCUAACGCGUUAAGUUCGCCGCCUGGGAAGUACGGUCGCAAGACUGAA